ACAGCAUGGGUAGCAAACAGGAUUAGACACCCUGGUCCUCCAUGCAGUAAAUGAUGAGUGCUAGGUGUUGGAGGGUUUCCGCCCUUCAGUGCCGCAGCUAACGCAUUAAGCACUCCGCGUGGGGAGUACGACCGCAAGGUUGAAACUCAAAGGAAUUGACGGGGGCCCGCACAAGCGGUGGAGCAUGUGGUUUAAUUCGAAGCAACGCGAAGAACCUUACCAGGUCUUGACAUCCUUUGACCACUCUAGAGAUAGAGCUUUCCCUUCGGGGACAAAGUGACAGGUGGUGCAUGGUUGUCGUCAGCUCGUGUCGUGAGAUGUUGGGUUAAGUCCCGCAACGAGCGCAACCCUUAUUACUAGUUGCCAGCAUUUAGUUGGGCACUCUAGUGAGACUGCCGGUGACAAACCGGAGGAAGGUGGGGACGACGUCAAAUCAUCAUGCCCCUUAUGACCUGGGCUACACACGUGCUACAAUGGAUGGUACAACGAGUUGCGAGACCGCGAGGUUUAGCUAAUCUCUUAAAACCAUUCUCAGUUCGGAUUGUAGGCUGCAACUCGCCUACAUGAAGCCGGAAUCGCUAGUAAUCGCGGAUCAGCAUG
rnacentral:rRNA from 2 species